rnacentral:pre_miRNA from 1 species
GAACGGCUUCAUACAGGAGUUGGUGGACAGUUAUCCAGCUCCUAUAUGAUGCCUUUCUUC